CCUACGGGUGACAGCAGUGCGGAAUAUUGGUCAAUGGUCGGGAGCCUGAACCAGCCAAGCCGCGUGAGGGAGGAAGGUACAGAGUAUCGUAAACCUCUUUUGUCAGGGAACAAAGACUGGGACGCGUCCCCGGAUGACUGUACCUCAAGAAAAAGCAUAGGCUAAAUCCGUGCCAGCAGCCGCGGUAAUACGUAGUGGGCAAGCGUUAUCCGGAUUUACUGGGUGUAAUGGGAGCGUAGACGGUUAUGUAAGUCUGGAGUGAAAGCCCGGGGCCCAACCCCGGGACUGCUUUGGAAACGGUGUAACUGGAGUACAGGAGGGGCAGGCGGAAUUCCUGGUGUAGCGGUGAAAUGCGUAGAUAUCAGGAGGAACACCGGCGGCGAAGGCGGCCUGCUGGACUGAAACUGACGUUGAGGCUCGAAAGCGUGGGGAGCAAACAGGAUUAGAUACCCGGGUAGUC
rnacentral:rRNA from 1 species